ACAGAAGGAGAAGAAGAAGUAGAAGAAGAAGAAGUAGAAGAAGAAAAAGAAACAUUUUUUGUUGAUCUUCCUUCUUCUUCUCCUUCUUUUGCUUCUUUCUCUUUUCUUUUUAAUUCUUUUA
rnacentral:ribozyme from 13 species